AAUGAACGCUAGUAGUAUGCUUAACACAUGCAAGUCGAACGGAAAUUAUUUUUUCGUGGCGUACGGGUGAGUAAAUGCAGAACUUUUCCUUUCAGUUCAGGACAAAUAUUUCUUUCGAGAAAUAAAAAUACUGAAUAAUUAUAAAGGUUUAACUCCGCUGAAAGAUAAAUCUGUUUAAGAUUAGGUUGUUGGUAAUUUAAAAGCUUACCAAGCCAAUGAUCUUUAGUUGGUCUGAGAGGAUGAUCAACCACACUGGAACUGAAACAAGGUCCAGGCUAAUACGUUGGCCAGCAGUGAGGAAUAUUGGAAUCAAUGAACGAAAGUUUGAUCCAGCAAUACUAACUGGGUGAUUGACAGCUUAUUAGGUGUAAGACCCUUUAAUUG
rnacentral:rRNA from 1 species